UACGUAGGGGGCAAGCGUUGUCCGGAAUCAUUGGGCGUAAAGAGCGUGUAGGCGGUCCGGCCAGUCGGUUGUGAAAGUCAAGGGCUCAACCCUUGAAUGCCGGCCGAUACUGCCGGGCUAGAGUCCGGAAGAGGUGAGUGGAAUUCCUGGUGUAGCGGUGAAAUGCGCAGAUAUCAGGAGGAACACCGAUGGCGAAGGCAGCUCACUGGGACGGUACUGACGCUGAGACGCGAAAGCGUGGGGAGCAAACAGG
rnacentral:rRNA from 1 species